rnacentral:rRNA from 1 species
UACGAAGGUGGCAAGCGUUGUUCGGAUUUACUGGGCGUAAAGGGAGCGUAGGUGGUUAGGUAAGCCCUCCGGGAAAUCUUCAGGCUUAACCUGAAAAGGUCGGGGGGGACUGCCUGGCUAGAGGACGGGAGAGGAGCGCGGAAUUCCCGGUGUAGCGGUGGAAUGCGUAGAGAUCGGGAGGAAGGCCGGUGGCGAAGGCGGCGCUCUGGAACGUUUCUGACACUGAGGCUCGAAAGCGUGGGGAGCAAACAGG